rnacentral:tRNA from 1 species
GUUAUUUUGGCAGAUUAGUGCAAUUGAUUUAGGAUCUUUAAAUGUAAUUUUACAAAUAAUA